CUUCAAUCCUCAGAUGUCAACUCAGGAAGGAGCUGAGAGAGAUGAAAGAGGAGCAUUGAUGAAAUGAAUUAGCUGUGCAAACCCGAUGACCUGAUGACCCGAGUUUGAUUCCAGGAAUCCACAGUGGAAAGAGAGAAUUAACUCGCUCACAAGCUUUUCCUUUAACCUCCACAUGUGAGCAAUAGACCAUGCACACUGAAAAGCUCUUAAACACACAUUUUACACUUGGAUACACG
rnacentral:lncRNA from 1 species